rnacentral:rRNA from 1 species
CCUACGGGAGGCAGCAGUGAGGAAUAUUGGUCAAUGGGCGCAAGCCUGAACCAGCCAAGUCGCGUGAGGGAUGACGGUCCUAUGGAUUGUAAACCUCUUUUGUCGGGGAGCAAGGCCCGCCACGUGUGGCGGGAAGGAGAGUACCCGAAGAAAAAGCAUCGGCUAACUCCGUGCCAGCAGCCGCGGUAAUACGGGGGAUGCGAGCGUUAUCCGGAUUUAUUGGGUUUAAAGGGUGCGUAGGAGGAAGGUUAAGUAAGCGGUCAAAUGUCGGUGCUCAACACCGGCCUGCCGUUGAAACUGGUCGUCUUGAGUGAGCGAGAAGUAUGCGGAAUGCGUGGUGUAGCGGUGAAAUGCAUAGAUAUCACGCAGAACUCCGAUUGCGAAGGCAGCAUACCGGCGCUCAACUGACGCUGAGGCACGAAAGCGUGGGGAUCGAACAGGAUUAGAUACCCUUGUAGUC